rnacentral:lncRNA from 1 species
UUGGAAAUGCAAAAUAGACCUCUGUGUGUGUCUUCCUCCAGCUUUUCUUAACUCUCAUUGCUAAAUUCAUGAUUUCGUGGUAAAAAAAAAAAAGCCCCUGGAAAACAGCCAGUAAAUUCUUGGUGUUUAAUAUUAUCCUAAAGGCAAGCAUCUUUCUCUUUCCAACUUGCUGACAACACAAUUGUUAGGGGUCAUGCACUCAAAAUGGGUGUGUCUUCUUGGUAAAAAAUAAUACACAUGUGGUUGUCCUAGCAGUUCCUGAUCCUGUUUCUAUUUUCUACACUUUCUCUAAGAGGAUGUCUGGGUCAGCUCUGACACACCCAGACCCUUCAACUCUGUCUUAACAUCCUGGACUGCUGCCAGUCUCCUUUCUCCAGACGAAGCAGCAUAAGACCAAUCUACGAGGACUUUGGAGCUGGGUGUCUACAAGGCCAGGAACCGCCAAUAAUUGUGCCUCCUUGAAUUCAAUAUUCAUUCCAACAAGAAGAUAAAACCAAAUUGCAGCAAGUCAUAGAAGUUCCCUUUUCAUUUUCAUUUCUUGCCAGACUAUUAUCUUACUUUAUUUUAACUCUUUCUUCAACUUUAUUACUUCUAACUAUUUACACCUGUGAUAGAAAAAA